AGAAAUCUGGCCUCCGUGGACGUGGUGGUGCUGGUUUCCCCUCUGGUCUCAAAUGGUCAUUUAUGCCAAAAGUAUCUGAUGGCCGCCCUUCCUAUCUUGUGGUCAAUGCUGAUGAAAGUGAACCUGGAACUUGUAAAGACAGGGAAAUUAUGCGCCAUGAUCCACACAAGCUGUUAGAGGGCUGCUUAAUUGCUGGUGUGGGAAUGAGAGCCAGUGCUGCUUAUAUCUACAUUAGGGGUGAAUAUGUUAAUGAACGUAGGAACCUGGAAAGAGCAAGAAAAGAAGCUUAUGAAGCCGGGUUGUUAGGAAAGAAUGCAUGUGGAUCUGGAUAUGAUUUUGAUGUUCACAUCCACUAUGGUGCUGGUGCUUAUAUUUGUGGCGAAG
rnacentral:lncRNA from 1 species